rnacentral:rRNA from 1 species
CAGUCGUAAAGAUGGGUAAUCAGCCUUUUGGGUGCGAUUAUGUGGUACGUGGAAAGAUUUCACGGUUGUAUAUUCGUGCCUUUUGGGUGUACUUGCUCGUAUGGUAGGUUAACAUCAUUUCGGUCGUCAUAAAAUGACGGGAGGAAUGUAGCUUUGAUCUCGUAUUAAAGUGUUAUACCCUCUGGUAAAUGUGAUGAUCGGGAUUGAGGAUUGCUACCAAACCUCCGGGGCCCCUCGUCUGGCCCCGGGUGGGUCCCUCCGGGUCCCAAAAGCUGGUUACCGGUUGUCAAAUUUGGUUGCCAAAAGGGUAAAACGGAAUGAU